rnacentral:sRNA from 1 species
GGGAGGUAUUCUAGGUAAACCCUUUUGCCUUUGUCUCUAUCCAUUUUGUUAAUAUCUUAAAGAGAUGGGAGGAAAGGCAAGAUUAAGUUGGUUCUUUCAACUCUAUGAGGGUAAACUGCCUUCCAGUGGCUAGGCUUCUGUUUUUUUUCCGUAGUGUUUUUGAGCUCUUAACAUCUAGCAGCUAAAAAGAAUUGAGUAAGUGUAAGGUCUUGUUACAUAGUUUAAGUGACCCUGUUUUUGUAGCAGUAAUGGACAAAGGUAAUACUUAAAUUAUAAAACGUUGCCUGCUUUAUAUAUAGAUAUGAGUUGAAGUUUUAAAAGCAUAACUUAUUAAAAUUCACAAGUUCAAGGGGAAAUUUUAACUUUUGAAUAUAGGUGGCAGGUUUUAAGAAGCAAAUGGCAGAUACUGGAAAACUGAACACACUGUUGCAGAGAGCCCCCCAGUGUCUUGGGAAAUUUAUUGAGAUUGCUGCCCGAAAGAAGCGAAAUUUUAUUCUGGAUCAGACAAAUGUGUCUGCUGCUGCCCAGAGGAGAAAAAUGUGCCUGUUUGCAGGCUUCCAGCGAAAAGCUGUUGUAGUUUGCCCAAAAGAUGAAGACUAUAAGCAAAGAACACAGAAGAAAGCAGAAGUAGAGGGGAAAGACCUACCAGAACAUGCAGUCCUCAAAAUGAAAGGCAUGGAAUUUUAAUUCUGUUACUGUUUAAAUCUUUUUAAAAAAAAAUUUUUUUCCCCUACAUAUUCUGCUUGUGUAACUAUGUUAAAUCUGUUAGGACUUACGCCUCUGAAAAGUUAACAUUUUUUCCAGCAAUACUGCUUCAGGAAUUAAAAUUGCAGUUGUUAAAUAUGCAUAUAUGUUUGGUCUGUUUUUGUUUAUUUUUAGGAAAAUACGUUACUAAACCUCAAGAAUUGUUAGCUUUAGGAUUGUGAGGAUUCGUGGUGGGUUUCUAAGUUAAUAAUAUGACUUUGUUUCCUGCAGGAAACUUUACCCUCCCAGAGGUAGCUGAGUGCUUUGAUGAAAUAACCUAUGUUGAACUUCAGAAGGAAGAAGCCCAAAAACUCUUGGAGCAAUAUAAGGAAGAAAGCAAAAAGGCUCUUCCACCAGAAAAGAAACAGAACACUGGCUCAAAGAAAAGCAAUAAAAAUAAGAGUGGCAAGAACCAGUUUAACAGAGGUGGUGGCCAUAGAGGACGUGGAGGAUUCAAUAUGCGUGGUGGAAAUUUCAGAGGAGGAGCCCCUGGGAAUCGUGGCGGAUAUAAUAGGAGGGGCAACAUGCCACAGAGAGGUGGUGGUGGCGGAGGAAGUGGUGGAAUCGGUUAUCCAUACCCUCGUGCCCCUGUUUUUCCUGGCCGUGGUAGUUACUCAAACAGAGGGAACUACAACAGAGGUGGAAUGCCCAACAGAGGGAACUACAACCAGGUAAUGAUUCAAGAUCCCUGGAAGCAUGAUUGAUAGCUGUAUAGCUUAGUCUGGAAAGGUAUGAGCUUUAUGUUGGGGUGUCUUAGUAGUCCAUAAGGAACAUGAUAGGCAUUGACAUAAGGAAAAUUGAAUUAGUAAUGGUGAAAUGAGUCUACUUACUUUUGAGUUUUUUCAGGUGUCCUAAUUAACAAGUCAGAUGCAUUUCUCAUAAUGAAUAAAAAAUUAAAACAUUAAGAAACCAGCAGAGGGUAUCCAGAAUUUGUGUAUUGCCCCCUAAAAUUAGGGGCUAGCAACCUGUCCAUUUCUGCUCCUCUCUCCCACCCCCACAAACCUAACAAGCAAUUGGGCUCAGAGCUCUUAGAGAGUAUUUCCUUUUUGUAGAACUUCAGAGGACGAGGAAACAAUCGUGGCUACAAAAAUCAAUCUCAGGGCUACAACCAGUGGCAGCAGGGUGUAAGUAAUUUCUUAUGUGCUUUAUGUACAUUAAUUGUAUUUUGAGUUCCUAAGAUUUAUCAGUCUUGAAAAAGAUCUUGUUAAUAGGGUAAAGUGUGAAUCGUCUUGCAGUAGUAGCCAUAAUCUACCUUUUGAAGGCAAAAUAGGUUGAAGAUUGCUAUAAGUUAAAUUUUUUUAAUAAAGUAAUAUUAUUUAAUAUAUACAGUUCUUUUACUGCUAGCUUUAAUUGUGUAAACUAACAAAGUCAUGAUGUUUCAUUUUGUAAUGUGUAUCGAUAAUUAUGGGAUAUUAAAACUAAAUCUGGUUUGGUAGAAAUCAGAGGUAUGACAAGUAUAAAUUUGUUUCCAGCAAAUUACUCUGAAUUAGAUUCAUUGUCAUUUCCUAAAAACAGUUUGAGUGGCUUAUUGAUGUUUUUUCUUUAAAAACAAAAUUUUCUCUUACAGCAAUUCUGGGGUCAGAAGCCAUGGAGUCAGCAUUAUCACCAAGGAUAUUAUUGAAUACCCAAAUAAAACGAACUGAUACAUAUUUCUCCAAAACCUUCACAAGAAGUCGACUGUUUUCUUUAGUAGGCUAACUUUUUAAACAUUCCACAAGAGGAAGUGCCUGCGGGUUCCUUUUUUAGAAGCUUUGUGGGUUGAUUUUUUUUCUUUUCUUUUUUGUACAUUUUUAAUUGCAGUUUAAAAGUGAAUCGUAAGAGAACCUCAGCAUUGUGCACGAUAAGAGAAUGUGUCAGUAUUUCAG